GUCAUACUUUUGAGACUCACUGAGGGGUUAAACGGUGGCACCGAGGCAGUUGCUGGCACACAACUGGUGCCCCCCUGCCCAUCUCCGUGGGCCCUUUUAAAUGCUAGCUACAGGC